AGAAACACCAGUUCCCGUACUAUCACCGAAGUUAAGCAACGUCGAGCCUGAUCAGUACCUAGAAGGGCGACCGCUUAGGAAUACCAGUUG